AUGCUACUUCAAACAGAGCUCUGGGAGCUUUAGAUUGGUCCCCUCCUUUUUGCAUUUCCUUAUUCAUAUCCAAUCGUCUCAAAAUGACAUUAAGGAUUUGGUGCCAAUUCAGGAC